GGCACGACGAACAUACAACAGUAGAAACUUCCCGACCAACCCCAACCUACCCACCUCCUUCCGCCGGAGGCAGCCGUCGCGGGCGAGCAAGCGACGGCGGUAGCCGGAGCGAGGGAGCCCGCGGCGCAGUGACUGGCCGCUGACGGAUCCACCUCCUUCCAAUCUCCGAUUCCCCACACCCGUCGCCGUACUUCUCCUCAUUUUCUCCCGAUCAAGAGCGCCGAUGACCUUGCUCUUCUUCCUCCUCCAGACCAAAUGUGUCACCGGUCCCGCUCCUCUUCCUCCUCCUGGCACGCGCGCCGCCACCCCGCACCUCCUUCCUCCUCCUGGCACGUGCGCUACCGUCCCCGCGCCUCCUUCCUCCUCUUGGCACCCAUGCCUCCUUCCUCCUCCUAGCACCCGUGCCGCCGCCCCUGCACCUCCUUCCUCCUCCUAGCACGCGCGCCACGGCCGCACUUCCUUACUCCUCCUGCCAUGCGCGCCGCCGCCCUGACCUUCCCUGCCGCACUCUCCUCCCAGGCUCCUGCCGCCGCCCCGACCACAUCUCCACCAGCUCCGGCCACCGCCGCGCCGCAUCUCCCCCGGCUCCCACACCGCGCAUCUCGUCCUGGUGGGGCUUCAUAACCACAGUACCGGACCACCCCAGGCCAUUCAACGCCACCAACCCGGUCCGUUCAUUGCAGCAACACCCAGGAUCUGGCUACCACCAUGUCGUUCCCACAGUGAUGUUCGAUGGAGCACCUCGUCUCUCUCCUGCUGCAGGGAGGCCCACCUACUGCACUAUGGAGGUACAAAUGAGCUCCACUAGAAUUGGUAACUGGUGGAGAUCAUUCAUGUUGAUUACUUUUGACAAGAAUAAUAGUCCGCUAGAGAAUUUUCUCAAGAUUAGAUAGGAGUGAAAAAACUAAAGGUUUGGAAGUGAUGGUCGCGACCUCUUCCUUCUGUAGGUCACCGCCUCCUGCUUCUGUAGGCCGUGCCCCAUCCCCCGAUUCCCGCAGCAGACAUGUCGUUCACCGCCGGCACCACAGUCUGUUCAUUGCCGACAACCGAGGCCGUUCAACGACGCAACGACGAGAUCUAGCCUUCCCCCUUCCUCUUUACAUGUAUCUUUGUAUUCUGUUUCAGUUCAUCUACGUGUCGAUCAUAAGUUUGAUUUCAUCUGUGUUUCCAUGUUAUUCCUGUAUAGUACAAUGGGUAUUUGUAUUUAGUUCAGUUCAUCUACUUGCCGAUUGUAAGUCCAAUUACAUAUGUUUUUCCAUGUUCUUCAUACAGUAUGAGAAGAUUUGUAGAUGCACAACAGAGUUUGCAGACUGCCAUGUUAAACAAUGUCAACAGGCAACAAGCAGCAAGGGAAAAAGAAGAGCAAGAUUGACAUCAGUAGUCAAAAAUAAUAGAACAUCAGUUCUAAAAUUCCCCGCGCAUUAGUACACCUAUUUCUGGUUCUCUAGAUUGGUCUUGGUACAGGAUACAUCUUAAGCUUGGUCUUGGUACAGGAUACAUCUUAAGCUGGAGUUCGUCGCUAAGCAGAUGGAGAUGUGUGUAUGUAUACAUGUGUUCUGGAGAUAGGAGAACUUAUCUGGUGGUGUGUGUGUGCUGCUGCAUCCUCUUCCAGCCGCUCUAAUUCACACCUUCAGUACAACUUCUUUCAGCGAGGUGGAGAUUGGGGCACGGUGGAGUGUGACCGUGUGUGUGCAGACGGCCCGCCGCAAUGUCAUAGUUGGAUGCAUUUCAUAGUUGGAUGGCUACUGAUCUCUCUAAAACCUUGGGAGCAGUGCUUGCAUUACUAGUCCAACCAUACUAGGGCUGGGGGAGAAGGCAGAACCUCUGGGUGCAUGAUGGAAAAAAUUGCAAGUUCUUGUUUGGAUGUUCAGCAUACCCUUCUCUCAUUUCAUUUAUGUUCAGGAUAGCAGGUGCAUGAUGGAAAAUUGUGUAUCAUGUAGUUCUUGUUUAUAUGUCGUGCUAGUUCAAAAAUUGUCGAUUUUGCCACUAGAGAGAACACGUUGGUUGCAUUGUUUUUCCAAUGUGACGUCCCUUUGUAUAUUAGGAGUAUUGUUAUUGUUGCUCUGCAUGCAAAUGAAUUAGCUUGUCCUGCUAA